rnacentral:rRNA from 1 species
GACGAACGCUGGCGGCGGGCUUAACACAUGCAAGUCGAACGGAAAGGCCCUGCUGGUGUGGGGUGCUCGGGUGGCGAACGUGAGAGUAACACGAGAUUAACCUGCCCUGGGGUUUGGGAUAACUUCAGGGGACUAGUGCUCCUACCUGAUAUUAGCUCCUGCUGCAUGGUGGUGGUUGGUGCGUUUGGGCGGGUGGGGAUGGACUCGCGGCAUAUCAGCGGAUUGGUGAGGUAGUGGCUUACCAAGGCUUUGACGGGUAGCCGGCCGGAGCGGGUGCCAGGACACGUUGCGACUGAGAUACGGCGCAGACUGCUACGGGAGGCAGCAGAGGGGAAUAUUGCACAACGGGCCGAAGCCUGAGGCAGAAAAGCCGCGUGCGGGAUGAAGGCUUUUGGGUUGUAAGCAGCUUUCGCCUGUGAUGAACGGUGAGUGCCGGUACUGGGUAAAGAAGCACCGGCUAACUACGUG